rnacentral:rRNA from 1 species
UGGUGGAGUGAUUUGUCUGGUUAAUUCCGUUAACGAACGAGACCUCGACCUGCUAAAUAGUUUGGCGAAUUCCUAGCGGAUUCGUACACAACUUCUUAGAGGGACUAUCGGUUGCAAGCCGGUGGAAGUUCGAGGCAAUAACA